AGGUGCGAUCAUACCAGCCCUAAUGCACUGGAUCCCGUAUGAACUUCGCAGUUAAGCGUGCUUGGGCGAUAGUAGUAGUAGGAUGGGUGACCUCCUGGGAAGUGACCUCCUGGGAAGUCCUCGUGUUGCACCUC
rfam:Vigna angularis cultivar Jingnong 6 chromosome 10, whole genome shotgun sequence.